UAGUGACUUAUGGGAGUGUCUACUACAUUAAGAAGAAAUACAAUAUAAAGAACUAGUACAUCAAAUAUGACUUUAGAACAUGUGGCUCUGAUAAAGAAUUGUGCAUGGUCAAACUGUGCUUAUGUGAGCAACUCCAUUAUGUCAUUCUAGCAUGAUUGAACACAGAAUGAAGGGAAAAAGACAGCUUCUACAGUGAGUGGAAGCUGAACCAAGACUUUAAUAAGCUUUAAGGAAAAAAGACACAAUUCCAGAUGCUCUUCAGGGAGAGGCCACUGAAGACAGAGAAAGACCCUGGGAAGAAGGUUUCAUCCUCAUUUUAUAGACGAAAGAACUGAAGAUCAAGAAGAUGAGUGUAAAGGCAGGAUUCAAACCCAGGUCUCUCUUGACUUCA